GCCCCGGUAGCUCAGUUGGUAGAGCACCUGCCUUGUAAGCAGGGGGUCGAGGGUUCAAAUCCCUCCCGGGGCU
rnacentral:tRNA from 1 species